GAUGAACGCUGGCGGCGUGCCUAAUACAUGCAAGUCGAGCGAACGGACGAGAAGCUUGCUUCUCUGAUGUUAGCGGCGGACGGGUGAGUAACACGUGGAUAACCUACCUAUAAGACUGGGAUAACUUCGGGAAACCGUAGCUAAUACCGGAUAAUAUUUUGAACCGCAUGGUUCAAAAGUGAAAGACGGUCUUGCUGUCACUUAUAGAUGGAUCCGCGCUGCAUUAGCUAGUUGGUAAGGUAACGGCUUACCAAGGCAACGAUGCAUAGCCGACCUGAGAGGGUGAUCGGCCACAAUGGAACUGAGACACGGUCCAGACUCCUACGGGAGGCAGCAGUAGGGAAUCUUCCGCAAUGGGCGAAAGCCUGACGGAGCAACGCCGCGUGAGUGAUGAAGGUCUUCGGAUCGUAAAACUCUGUUAUUAGGGAAGAACAUAUGUGUAAGUAACUGUGCACAUCUUGACGGUACCUAAUCAGAAAGCCACGGCUAACUACGUG
rnacentral:rRNA from 1 species